rnacentral:tRNA from 1 species
GUCCAGGGAUGGGAAUCGAACCAAAAGUGUUCCUCUUACCGGACAGAUGCCAUGUCCACUAGGCUACCCUGGA